CCCGCUUCGUACAAUUGAACUGAAGGUUGCGAACGUAAAGACAUAGCAAUGUUUAAAUUGAUCUGUAUUGAACAUUCAUGACCUCCUGAGAAUCUGUCAGACUUAAUAAAAACAUGACGUCGAUUUUCCUAUCAAGACUUGUCAGACAUUUGGUAAUCCUCCUUUCGGCUAUCAGUGAAGGAUACGGUCAGGCUUGCAACAUUACAAGCCCAAAAGACGACUAUGAUAUAAGUGUUCAAGUCGGAUCAAACUUUACUAUCAACAUUGCAUAUACAUGCGCACCACUUGAGGAAAU